CGCCGUACGUCAUAGCGGGGAGACGAGUUGUUGGGACUCGGGAGCAAUGCACACAAAUUGCUGGAGGGAUUCAGCGGUUCCUACUGGUCACUGAAAGCCUCCUGCAUUCAAUAGCCACAAGAUAAUUCCUCCGCACAGAGACUGAGACAUAGUAUAAAUCAUGGAGGAAUGCAGUGGACCUCUACCUAUCUAUCCAUCAUUACUAAUUAUCAGCAGAAAUAAUUCAAUAGUUCACUGCGCUGAACUACGUGAAAAGAAACGUGGCUCGAGGACAACAUCCCAUGCUCCAUCAAUCUUCAGGUCAUGGGUCAUGGGACUUGUGCUAACAUUAUUUUGUGGCUAUAUGUGCUAUUGUAACUAUAUGUGCUGUGUGUGACUGUAUGCACUGUGUUUUGCACCUUAGCCUCGGAGGAAUAUGUUUCCUGUAACUGUAUACAUGUGUAUGAUUGAAUGAUAAUUAAACUUGAACUUGAAACCUUUGGGUGCCCUUGGAUUGUAAACAAAAUUCCAAAUACCUAGGAUCUAGAAGUAUUGUGUGUAGCCAGCAGAAUGUCACAGUGAUUCACCAGCGCCAUCUUGGUGUGGUCUUUAUUUGAUUGUAUUAUUGAUAUUAUUUUAUUAUGCAAGAAAAUGAAUAUCAGGGUUGUGUAUAGUGGCAUAUAUGUACUUUGAUAAUUUACUUUGAAACAGCCUCAGAGAACAGGGGUUAUCUUCAUGCAUAACAUGGCUGGUAAUGAUGUACAGUACCAGAGAUCCAAAGAUGAAGAGAAUAAAUAAGUUUAAUCUCUGCUCUGUGUGGCUAAUAUUGGUUCUGCUCUAUACUACUCAAGUCUUUUUAAAAUUGCAACUUUCUUAAGUGAUUAAAAACUAUUCACUCACACUUAUAGAACUGUAAUGUUUGUUCAUGUUAUGCAGGAUAACAUUUUUUAUAUAUUCACAAUGGUUUUCUGUUAAUUCAAGAUCUGAAACUAAUUAAUUUUCCAUAAUGAAUCAUACUUCAUAUAUAAUUUGAUAACAACCUUGAAAUUUGAUCUUCCAAUCAAGUAGAUUGUUUCUCUGUAACAGUUUUAUUGCCCU